rnacentral:lncRNA from 1 species
GUUCGCUUCGACAGUUGUCAAACUGUGUUUUGUUGUCAUUGAGACGGUUUGAAAUUUUUCUUGUUUGUCCGUUUUUAAUGUUAUUUCGUUUGUUCAAGUUCAGGAAACCAUUUAAUUCAACUAUACGGUUUUUGUUUUGCACUUCGUAAUAUUUAUGAUAUAUUGAUGAAGGUCUAUACGUAACAUUGCUUAUUCAAUCGAUACGCAGUAAG